rnacentral:lncRNA from 1 species
GUCCGUCUUUGAGACCGAAGUUGGCCUUCUAGGUGUUCACAUUCUUGUAUAUACCAAAGUAUAUAUUUUAAGAUAUUUAUGGCAGCAUUAUUUUCAGUUUACCUGCAGAUGGAUGGUUAAAUUACAACUCAUCCGUGCUGUGGAACACACUGUACAACUGAUAAAGAAUGAGGACAUCCCACGGGUGGUUCACGGACAUGAGCCUUGAAGUCCCAGCCUCUGUCCUUGAGUUCUUCAUAUCCCGAGAGCAGUCUGUGGAGCAGCCACCACCUGUCACCAAGGCUAUCGUGACUCUUAUUCCCGCUCCAGAGGGGCUGACUGAGAAUCUGAGUUUAAAAGAACCUCCCAGGAGAAAGGUGUGAGAGGCUCUGCCCAGGCUCAGCGACGCUCCCACGGGGAAUGUGCCAGCCCUCAUCCGCAGUUCCUUUCCCUCACAGUACCCUGCGGGACGCUGUGGGAGGCAGACUUCUCCAUUGUCAGCGAACCCCAUGUGUGAUCCUCGUGUGACCUCGUGUGUCUCGGGUUCAUGGACAUGGAGGGAGUGAGCUCUUCUGCACAGCGUGACCAGAUGGUGACACAUGGGUCACACUGGGGAAAUCAGGGA